CCUCCCACUCGGUCUCAGGCUGCCUUCCACACAGCUCCAGCUGUCAGGCUGCCCUGCACCCGCUCUGCACAGCCUCCCUACAUGCUCGCCGCCAGCCUAGACCAGAACUGCAUCUAGGAGGACGCUGCACCCCACACAGGGGUGAGCACAGAAACUCAUUGUGCCAGAUGCAGAAAAUAAGUUCCAGAAUAGAAGUGGAUUCAGUCACUUCAAAACAAGCAAAAUAGUCUCACAGGUGUGCUCUCCAUUUCUGGAUUGUACUUCAUUCCAAUUGACAACCAAGAAUAGCCAUCAUACCUAGCCAGAAGCUUUGUCUGUAAAAAUCUCACCAACACAACCUCCCAAAUGUGAGCUGGACAAAGACAAGAACAAUGAACAUGCCAAAGUGGAUGGGGAAAAGCCCACAAUGCCUCAACCCCACACAGAGAACUACAAGCAACUGGGGAUGGUGGGAGCAGGAGAAAUAGUCUCCCCCAGAGAAGAGCACACUAACUAAUUAUUCAAUACCAAGUGGG